UAAUACGUAGGAUCCGAGCGUUGUCCGGAUUUACUGGGUGUAAAGGGUGCGCAGGCGGACUGGUAAGUCAGUGGUGAAAUCUCGUCGCUUAACGACGAAACUGCCUUUGAUACUAUCAGUCUUGAGUCCGGUAGAGAUCUGUGGAAUUCCGAGUGUAGCAGUGAAAUGUGUAGAUAUUCGGAAGAACACCAGUGGCGAAGGCAGCAGAUUGGGCCGGUACUGACGCUCAUGCACGAAAGCGUGGGGAUCAAACAGGAUUAGAUACCCUGGUAGUCCACGCCCUAAACGAUGUACACUUGAUGUCGGCCUGUAAGGGUCGGUGUCGGAGCUAACGCGUUAAGUGUACCACCUGGGGAGUACGCUCGCAAGGGUG
rnacentral:rRNA from 1 species